AGUGAACGCUGGCGGUAGGCCUAACACAUGCAAGUCGAACGGCAGCACAGUAAGAUCUUGCUCUUACGGGUGGCGAGUGGCGGACGGGUGUUUAAUACAUCGGAAUCUACUUUUUCGUGGGGGAUAACGUAGGGAAACUUACGCUAAUACCGCAUACGACCUACGGGUUAAAGCAGGGGAUCUUCGGACCUUGCGCGAUUGAAUGCGCCGAUGUCGGAUUAGCUAGUUGGCGGGGUAAAGGCCCACCAAGGCGACGAUCCGUAGCUGGUCUGAGAGGAUGAUCAGACACACUGGAACUGAGACACGGUCCAGACUCCUACGGGAGGCAGCAGUGGGGAAUAUUGGACAAUGGGCGAAAGCCGGAUCCAGCCAUACCGCGUGAGUGAAGAAGGACUUCGGGUUGGAAAGCCAUUUUGUUGGGAAAGAAAAGCAGCAGGUUAAUACCCCGAUGUUCUGACGGUACCCAAAGAAUAAGCACCGGCUAACUUCGUG
rnacentral:rRNA from 1 species